UCUCGGCACUCUUCACUACGGAUCGUCCGGCACGUACCUGCCGGUGAAGGGAUGUACAU
rfam:Georgenia sp. STBG003 Ion020_assembly_c40, whole genome shotgun sequence.